CAAUACUAAUCAGUGUAAUUAGUUGUCUGGUUUUUAAGCCUUUUUGCCCUUACUACAUUGCCUGUAGAUGCAGAGUUGUGGCUCCUGCCUAGACUCUAGUACAAGAUGAACAAAUAAGAGUUUGGUUCAGGUUUUUACCAAAGUUGACCUAGUUAGCAUGCAUCUGAUGAGCUACUUGUAGAAGCAAAUACAUUGCAAAUAUAGUUUUUAUCUAUUCUCUCCCUUCUCUGCUUUCCAUAUCUAUUUACCAGUAAAAGACCUAUAGAGUAGCUUGAAGGGCCACAGCAUGUCUAAUAGCACAAAAGGUUGUUGCACUGCUGGUGAGGUCCAGCUCCACUAAACCCAUUUGGGUUUUAUAUAUUCUUGUGGCACUGCUUGGAAAAAGACUCGAGAAAAACAACAGCCAGAUUUGGCAGAAAGAAGAUGUGUCUGGUCACACAGCCCUGAGCAGGUUUUUAACAGAUGAAACAGAAAGGCUUUCUGUUUAUGUAAAGUUCUCCAUGUGAGGAUCCUAGAAUGAUUCACACAUACAUAAGGCACUGCAGCACAAAGCCAUACAAGCCAGCUCGGUACUGUGCCAUACCGGUAUAGUCAUGCCCCAUGUGGAAAGGUGGCCUUGGACUGUGUAACACACUGAACUUGGGGGAGAGGAGAGGACCAUCUGUGAAGGAAGAGGGAAACGCUCCCACUGCAAAUCUUUAUAAACCUACAAAACCUUGUUUUUGUUAAACAUAAUGAAUACCUUUGCUUUCUAUUCUAGCUGAUCUGUACAUUCUUUCUUUAUAGGACUCUAAAUGCCUAUCAAUACAGAAAGUUAUAAUAAAUUCUUAACCUUGCACAGUGUUCAAUACAUACAGACAGCAUCAAGGCAUUACUUGUGAAUUAUGUUCCAUUAGGAAGGAAAUGUAACAGAACUUGGAGUACAGUUUGUGGCAACUUUAUCAGUGCUGACAAAACAAAGGCCAUUUCUGUAUGAGGCAUUCCCGACACUUUCUGCACAAGCUGGAAAUGAUCAAACCAAGUGAAAACCACACAGGAUUAGAGAACCUGAGCUGGCCUGGAAGCUGCGCUGUGGCCCUGGAGCAUUUCCAAACCCCAGCCCCUGGCAGGAGAGUUACAGCUUUCGGGUCAUGCUGUAAUGGAGACAGUAAAUCACUGAUGUGAAAUGCA